UUUUUUUUAAGUAGGCUCCGUGCCCAACCAGGGGCUCAAACUCACGACCCUGAGAGCUGCUCACUCCACUGACUGAGCCAGCCAGGCGCCCCUGGAGACAAUGAGAUUUGAGACCCGUGUCCUGAGGCCACAGAACAUAACCGUUCCACCCACCACCACCCCCCCCAAAUGCGGACUUGACCUGGAUUCAGGGAGGAGCAGAGCAUUUUUAAACACAGCUUUCCUUCCUAAAAGCAUCUUAAGAUCCAAUGCUUGAUUCCCUCUCUGGUUCCCACCUCCUGCAAAGAAGGUACCCUCUGGAUCUGUGCUGUCCACAUGUGGCUGGUGAGCCGUGGCGAUGCGGCUAGCCUGAACUGAGAUGGUCUGCGAGGGCGAAGCGCACACUGGAUUCCAAAGACUUGUGUGGCUGUGAGGAGAUUCAGAAUUGCCUGUGUGGAACUUCGGGGGUGGCUCCCAGCAUAUUUCUACGGUGCUGCCCCAGGAGGUCCUGCCGUUGAGGUCCUGCUGAGACAGGGGAGCCAGAGCCAAGGAGGAAUGGGUGACUUUGCUGGGCAAAUGUCCCUUGCUUCUCAGACGUGUUUUCCCAGGAAGACUGCAUCGGUAAGGUGGGGAGCUCUGCUCAGGACUCAGAACAUCAACCCCACCGCAUUCAAAUAUAAAGCCAGUGGUACAAAGCCGAGCCAUGAUCUUUGGAACCGGAUCGUUCCAGUCUCCGCAACACCAUCCACUAGCUGUGCAACCUGGGACUAGUUACCAGCCCUGAGCUUCCGUGUCCUCGUUUAUAAAAUGGGAAAAUAGCAGAGAGCCUCCUGGAAGGUCUUUAAGAGGGUUAAAUGAGGCAAAAACGAGUAUAGCGCCUACUAGCGUGCCUGGCCUGUCAAACCUCGGUAAGUUUCGAUAACAAACGUGAGUCUUUAAGCUGUAAAAAGGUGCCCUACAGACCGAGGCUUUGGUCUUGGGUUAGCAGCGUUUGGGAUCUGCACCUCACGGGUAUCCUAGUUGGCUUCUCCUCGCUCACCUGGUCCAUGGGUAGAAAUGGGCAGGUUGGCGGUUGGCUCGCGUGGACACAGUGGCCUCAGCCGUGGUUGGGCCCCGAGUCUUGUCAGCCAGGCUCUGCUCAAUGGCCAUCUGGACCAGCUCGUCCUCGCUCAGGCUGCUAUACAGGCUGUAUUCCUCAUUCCCAAUGGUACGCUGUCCGCCCCGAGCGCUGAUCUCCAUGGUCAUUGUCUUCUGCCUCUCACCCCGGCCUCCAGAAGAGGCACUCCGAGGAGAGGAGAAAGCAGUAAGUCAGAAAGCCCUGUGACGAGACCGAAACCAUCCUGGUCACUAACAGUUUGGCAAGAGAGUCGUGUUGACCAGCAGGGAAGGCUGUGCUUUCCUCUGGCAAGCUCACGAUCAUUGUUUAUCUAUUCAUUUUGUCACAUGAUCCACUCAAACAUCCAUUCAGCUCCCCAUCUCUCCAUCCACUCGUCUGCUCAUCAACACACCCACCUGUCUAGUCAUCCAUCCGAUCGUUCGCCCAUCUGCCCGUUGACUCAUUCUCCCGUGCAGCCAUCUGUCCACCCACCUACUCAUUUACCCAUCUACAUCUGUCCAUUUAUCCAACCGCCUAAUCAUCCAUCCAACCGAUCGUGACCCGUCCCCUGAUCUGUCUGUCCACCUACCUGUCCAUGUAUCCACCCACCUUCCCAUUCACCCGCUCCUACAUCUCUCUAUGCAACCAACCAUCCGCUUGCCCACCAUUCAUUUUUCCGUCCCAGACAGCUUGUCUACACGUGCAUGCGUGCAUCACUAACUGACAGAGUAUUUAUUGAGCACCUACUCCGUGUCAGGUGCGCCUCUAAGCGCUGGCGAUAUUACAAUGAUGCCAACGGACAAAAAUCCCUGCCGUCACCAAGAUUACACAACAAUGUCUAUGUUCCUUCCUUCCAACAACCUCCCAUUCCAGCACGUCUCCUGGUCUCUGUGCUGGGCCGGGGCUGAGAAUGUUAGAGAUCAAUCAGACAUGGGCCUGCCCCUUGGGUCCGCAGGAUCUAGUUAAAAUCAAUCAUUAAAACGAUUUGCCGUGUGAAUUCCAAGGACUCUCUUCUUGAAAGAAAUUGCCUCGGGGAGAAGUGGACUUUGGUUGAAUCAACUCAUUUUCGGAAAUAAAGUAAAAUCAACGAA